GUGAUUUCACGAUUGUGCGCCCCUGUGUGUGUUUGUAGGUAACUUCACGUGCUGUGUGUGGGUUCUCUGCUUGUGUGGGUAUAAAUGCAUGAUCACACCAAGCAGGCGUUGGAGGACACGUUUGUUCUGAUCUUGCAUUCCUGACUCUGAGGUGCCAGGGGUGUGCCUGUAUUUGGGGUCUUGAGAACUCCUCUUUCCAUCAUAUUAAAAAAAAUUGUAUUUAUUUUAAAGUUUAUUUUUGACUGUUCUGAGUCUUUGUUGUCUUGAGGGUUUUCUCUAGUUGCGGAGAGUGCGGGCUUCUCUUGAGCACAGGCUCUAGAGUGCAGGCUCAGUAGUUGUAGUGCCCAGGUUCAGCUGCCCCGGCACAUGUGGGAUCUUCUUGGACCAGGGAUCAAACCCAUGGCUCAGGGUAAAGAAUCUGUCUGCCAAUGCAGCUGGCUGUAGUUUCUCCCUAAUGGGAAUGGUGGGCCCAGCGGCUUUAGGAGAAACACCAGGGUCAAAGGGAAGAUGAGAGGAGACAGGUGAGGCCUGGGCGGGGAUGAGAAAGAACAUGAUGGGAAAGCAGGGAGAGAUGGAGGGUGGGGGACAGAGGAAGAGCUGCCCAAAGAGAUGUGGAUAUUUGUCCAUCCAUUCCAUAAGCAUUUGGUGAGCCCUUGCAAUGUGCCAGGACCUCUGGCAGGCAUUGGUUCAAAACUUGGGGAAAAGUAGAGAGACCCAGAGGGAUGAAUACCCACCAGGAAAGCUUUUGGUGCCCCAGGGUGGCCCACCUGUGUCCAGAGUGGGCCUCAGUGAUGGUUCUGGGUGAUGGGAUCCAGCGAUGGGGAGGGACAGGGAGGGACCUGCCCUUCUCCAAUCCUCCCUGAGGCUGAUCUGGGCAGAUCAAAGAACGCAGACCGGGGGGCCGGGGGCCCGGGGGUCCGGGGGAGGGGGAGGGUUCUCCCAGACCAGGGACAUCCCAGGAAUCAUCUGUCAUCUCCUAAUAGGAUAAUGACACACGACACACCCAUACUGUCCUAAUCAGUAUUUUCGACCCCAAUCAGGCCCAACACCCAUAGUGAGAGGCCUGGUAUCUGAGAGUUGAGGAGGAAAUACCUGGGAGUCACCUCCCUCACCCUUCCUCCUCCAGACCUCAGGAGUCCCAGG
ensembl:lncRNA